GACAUUUCUGAUAUCCAUUCUUCUGAUAGUCUAUGGUAGUUUCAGGUCUCUUAAUAUGGACUUUGAGAACCAAGAUAAGGAGAAAGACAGCAGCAGUAGUUCUGGCCCUUUCAACGGCAGCAGCACCAAUAACACUCCACGGGCAGUCACUUCUCUAUGUUGGGCAUCGGGGACAUUGUGAUGCCCGGCCUCCUGUUAUGCUUUGUUCUUCGCUACGACAACUACAAGAAACAAGCCAGCGGCGACUCCUGUGGGGCCCCUGGCCCGGCAAACAUCUCUGGGCGCAUGCAGAGGGUCUCCUACUUCCACUGCACCCUCAUCGGGUACUUUGUAGGUCUGCUCACCGCAACUGUGGCGUCUCGCAUCCACCGGGCCGCCCAGCCAGCCCUCCUCUACUUGGUGCCAUUCACCUUAUUGCCGCUCCUCACCAUGGCCUACUUAAAGGGUGACUUACGAAGGAUGUGGUCUGAGCCAUUCCACUCCAAGUCCAGCAGCUCCCGCUUCCUGGAAGUAUGAUGGGCAGUGUGAGAAGGGACCAGAGCGCCGGCUCCGCCCUGUUCUCUCACCACGUGGUUUUGUUCUCUCUACAAGCUGGCCUGGACUCAAGAGGCACGCCUGCUCACAGAACUGCGGUGUGGCUGCAGUCUGCGUCUGAGGGUAGCGUUCCCAGAGGGUGCUGGAGCCCUGCCGAGGGAGCCUUCUCUUCUGUGCUCUGGGAGAGUGGACCCUUGAGAAGGGGCAGGCCCUCCGGUGCUCCUUCUGUCUUCAUG
rnacentral:lncRNA from 1 species